rnacentral:sRNA from 1 species
CUCUCCUGGCCAAUGGAAAGAGGAUGCGCCGAUUCCAAGACUAGUCGUUGUCAAGAGCCUCAGGUGCUAGGAUGGCUUUCUUAGGAUUCCCCCACUGCUCUGAGGACCUACUUGGUCCAAUCCUAGGAAGAGUCUGAGAAACAUGUGGAGCUACAAAGCUUCAGCCAAGCCCAGCAUAUUCAGCUAAACUUCAGAACCCUUCACAUGUGCAAGCAAGGGCAGCUUGCAAUAGCUCAGCUCUACAGAUGUGUGGGAAUCAAUGCUUAUUGUUAUAUGACACAGUGUGUGUGGUUGCUUACUCCACAUCAAAAGCAAAGCCACCGUUUGAACCAUGCAAUAUGAUAGAAAGAGCCCAUGCCUCAAAGUUAACAACCCUGGCAGCGAAAUCCAGCCUGGAUUAAGAGAUGCAUUUCUUGAAACUCAGAGGACAAUGGCAUCUAUCUUACAGGAUCCUAGAGGAACUAAAAGAGAUCUGAGGUACAAAGCUUGGGUCGUCUGUCCUUUGAGGCUGUGGGAAGAAAAUAAAGACAUGGAGACUCCAGGAAUGAGAAGUGGUAGGAAACCCCUGGAGGCAGAUGCAGGCCCUGGAACCAUCAGAACCUGCAUGGAGCUGUUACUCAAGUCCACACAUGAUUCUUGUUCUCGGCAGGAUCUCCACAUGCCCUGUGCUAGAGGAAGCCAGAAGGAUGUCUCUCCUUGCUGUGUAUGGGGAAGGCUAUGGCAUUUCUUGAAAAAGUAUGGCAAAUAGCUUUGCUCUUUCUUCCAUGGAAGAGUGUGCUUCAGCCCAUACACAGGAGCUAAAGUAGACUUCACAACAGUUCUAAAGCUGAGAAUGGAGUUCAGUUAGUGGAGUGCUUGCCUAGGAAGCACGAAGCCCAGGCUGUGGGGCACAUGCCUUAACCCCAUCUCCAGGGCUGUAUAGCCUCCAGGCUAGCCAGGGAUACCAUGAGAUCCUGUAUUCUCCUUAAAAAUUGUUAAAUAAAGACAAUAUGGUGUUGUAAUGGCUGCUAUUACUUGAGUAUGUCCCCUGCAUAACCCAUAUUAAGCAGUUCUUUCAUAUCCUUUAUUUCAUAUCAUCUCUCCCUCAACCCUUUGGUAUGGUUCUCCAUAAUCUGACCUCAACUUUGCCUCCCAGGGUCAUCUCCUACCAUCCAGCGAGCUCAUUCAUGAAUAUGCUAUAGGCCUUGGUCCAUGCUGUUCACUCCACUACAUUGUCUUCCAAACUAGCCACUCUCUUCUCCUUAAGACCUAGUGCAGCAUGCAAAGGUAUAGACAUGCUGGGGACAGAGAUGCUUGGCUACUACUUUAAGGGACUAUCUUAAAGGUUCAUCCAUAAUUUCUAUGGCACGUUAAUUAAUUAAUUAAUCAUUGCAUUCUCUUUUUCUAGACUGUAACUCUUUGGUUGCAUGAGAUUCUUAUGCAUCACAAGUACCAGGCCUAUGAUGAGUGAAUAUUUAUGAAAAAAUAAGUGGAAUUAUACUGGCUACUCUUCUCGGGGACCUUGACCAAAUCGGUUUAGAGAAAUGGAAACACAGCACACUAUUGAGUAGCUAUAGGAAGACGCAUAGAGGGAAUGAGACUGGAAUACACAGAGAAUUCCAGACAACAACAUCA